rnacentral:rRNA from 1 species
GUUCCUACGGGGGGCAGCAGUGAGGAAUAUUGGUCAAUGGACGGAAGUCUGAACCAGCCAUGCCGCGUGCAGGAAGACGGCUCUAUGAGUUGUAAACUGCUUUUGUACAAGGGUAAACCUGAAUACGUGUAUUCAACUGAAAGUACUGUACGAAUAAGGAUCGGCUAACUCCGUGCCAGCAGCCGCGGUAAUACGGAGGAUGCGAGCGUUAUCCGGAUUUAUUGGGUUUAAAGGGUGCGUAGGCGGGACGGUAAGUCAGCGGUAAAAAUGCG